ensembl:lncRNA
UGGCAGGAUCUGGACAGGGACAGUCGCCUCCCAGAUACACCCAGUUUUAUAACAGUCUGUCCCCAGCCCCCACCUUGGCCAACUGCCAGUCAGCAUUCCACACCAGACUGGCGGCGGCAGGUGGCCAGUAGCAAAGCCUGGGGGGAGGGUGGGCACAGAGCCAGACUUAAAAUAGCCCCACCAGCCACUCGCGCCUGGGCUGGGUGGGGCUGCUGAGCAGGGCCUGGCGUGCAGGGCCCCCAACAAGCCUAAGGGGAGGGAGGGCUGGCAGGAGUAGAGGGGGUCUCCAGAGCAAGACUCCUCUGUCCCAGGGGGGGCUGACACUCAGGCGGAGGCACAAUCCCCUGGUCCUUAUUAACACAAGACGGGACAUGCCUGCAUCUCCGUGAGGAAACUGGCCCGUGUAAAGGGAGCCAGGGGAUGUGUGCACACAUGCACAUGAGUGUGUACACAUGUGUGUGGGCACAUGUGUAUGUGCCCAUACCUGGUGCUUAUUGCCUGUACACAUGGGCCUGCAUUUGAGCUGCCUUCCCCUAAUGGCUCAACUCUGCUCACCCAGGUGUGGGGGCCACAUACUGGCUUUCCUCAGGGGUCCUGGACCCCGUCCCCGCGUCCCGCUGCUCUGACAGACCCUGCCCACAGAAUGAGGCCUGCAGGAGCCUGUGGCUGAUGGCUGCACUGGGAGGGGCUGUGACAUCAUCUCCGCAAGUCUCCUCAAGGGAGGAGGUGGGGGGUAGUGAAAGGUCAGGUCGCUGUUGGCAGAGCCAGGGAGCUGGUGGGGACCGAAGCCCUGGGGAGAGAGGUCCAGCCCUGCAGAGAGAGCAGCAGGCAGCAGUGUGGGCAGUGGGUUGAGGCCAAGCGGACAGAGCUGUUUCCAAGGCAACCUGGGGAGGUCGAAGGGCUGGGCCAGAAGGAAGAAGAGGGUGCCCUUGUUUCCUCUUGGGUCCCUUGGUCAAGCUCUGUCACACAUCUGCCACCCCUCCCUGGCCCCACCUGCCAUCACCAAAGCCAGCUCACCCCUCCCCGCUGAAACCACCUUUAAGCAGAAAGAGAAACCAAAGAGUCAUGCACCCCAGGGAUCCCAGGACCGGAGGCACUGUUUGCCGGGUUCAUGCCCAGCUAAGCAAGAGCACUCAGAAGUGGGCCGAGGGCGUGCUGCCCACAGGGCCGGCUCACCUCUCCUCUUUCUGGACAUGCCUUGCUGGAGGUAAAGUACAGGACUGCACCUAGGUGAGUGGAAACCCCCUGCGGGAGGGGGUAGGGGUCGUGGGCUGCCGCAGCGCCUGCCUUCUGUGGCUGUCCUGUGACUAUCAGGUUGGGCGCCUUCAACUUCUAACACCCCCCCACCCGACCCCCCGCCAGAUGGUGAGAUUGGUUAGAUGGUGAGCGGCCCUGCGCCCUUCCCUGCCUGCCAGCGCCAGGAGCUCCUGUGACUUCAGACCCUCUUCCCCCAGGCUCCUCGCUCCCGCCCCACAGCUGCAGGUGUACCUGCUAGAUAGAAUUCACCGACACUUGCGUCCUCUGCUUUUUUCUCUGGGCAUCUUCCCCGGCCCGUUCUGUCCCCGGCUGGUAGUCGUGGGGGACAAGGUGCCCCAGGCGCUGGCCUCAGGGACGGCGUACAGAGCGGGCCCCUGUGUCUCUGCGCCUGCAGCUCGAACCCUGCAGGAUCCCCUCUGCCUCCGCAGGGCUGGGCCUGCUCCUCGAUCUCUGCAGGAGAGGACCCCGGACUUCUGCUUCUUGGGGGGGGGGGGCAGAGAGGACAGGAUGCCUGAAUGGCUCACGUUUGCUCUGAAAUCACAAUUCUGAUUCCAGAGUCUUUAAUGCCAUUUUGUCCUUUUAGAGGCUUAUUUUUUACUUAAAAAGUGUGUGGGGUGCGUAGACCCAGCCGUGGGAGGCCCGUCGGGAAGUUCCGGGUUGCACGGGAAAAUAGGGGUGGGGCACGCGGAAGGGCGGCAGGGAAUGCAGUCCGGCAUUUUCAGGCAGACCUCAGGGGGACGCAGACGCGCUGCGGACGGUUCUGUGGUUCAGCGGCAUUUUGUAACCGUGAACUCCAGUUUAGCUUUUUUUCUUUUCAAUUUUUAAAAUAUGUUUUAUUUAUUUUUGAGACAGAGAGAGACAGAGCAUGAGCAGGGUAGGGGCAGAGAGAGAGGGAGACACAGAAUCUGAAGACAGGCUCCAGGCUCUGAGCUGUCAGCACAGAGCCUGAUGCGGGGCUCGAACCCACGAACGUGAGAUCAUGACCUGAGCUGAAGUUGGAGGCUUAGUGGACUGAGCCACCCAGGCGCCCCCUCCAGUUUAGCUUUGACCGGUGAACCCGGGAGGGUCUGUGUGGACACUAAGAUCGCAGCCCACUGAUGUCCCAAUUAAAUGUUUUCUUUUGAUUUCAGGACAAGUUGUUAGCUGUUAGCAUUUGUUAUUUUUUCCUUCUGUUGCCACCCCUUCCUGGAUCACGGGGCAGUUGGGUGCAAAUCAAACGGUUCACUGU